UACGUAGGGUGCAAGCGUUAAUCGGAAUUACUGGGCGUAAAGCGUGCGCAGGCGGUUUUGUAAGUCUGUCGUGAAAUCCCCGGGCUCAACCUGGGAAUUGCGAUGGAGACUGCAAGGCUGGAGUCUGGCAGAGGGGGAUGGAAUUCCGCGUGUAGCAGUGAAAUGCGUAGAUAUGCGGAGGAACACCGAUGGCGAAGGCAAUCCCCUGGGCCUGCACUGACGCUCAUGCACGAAAGCGUGGGGAGCGAAACAGGG
rnacentral:rRNA from 1 species